rnacentral:rRNA from 1 species
GAUGAACGCUGGCGGCGUGCUUAACACAUGCAAGUCGAACGGUGAACGAGGGAGCUUGCUCCCUCCGGAUCAGUGGCGAACGGGUGAGUAACACGUGAGCAAUCUGCCCCGAACUCUGGGAUAAGCGCUGGAAACGGCGUCUAAUACCGGAUACGACGCGCGAAGGCAUCUUCUGCGCGUGGAAAGAAUUUCGGUUCGGGAUGAGCUAGCGGCCUAGCAGCUGGUUGGGGAGGUAACCGCUCACCAAGGCGACGACGGGUAGCCGGCCUGAGAGGGUGACCGGCCACACUGGGACUGAGACACGGCCCAGACUCCUGCGGGAGGCAGCAGUGGGGAAUAUUGCACAAUGGGCGCAAGCCUGAUGCAGCAACGCCGCGUGAGGGACGACGGCCUUCGGGUUGUAAACCUCUUUUAGUAGGGAAGAAGCGAAAGUGACGGUACCUGCAGAAAAAGCACCGGCUAACUACGUGCCAGCAGCCGCGGUAACAC